GACGAACGCUGGCGGCGUGCUUACACAUGCAAGUCGAACGGAAAGGCCCUGCUUUUGUGGGGUGCUCGAGUGGCGAACGGGUGAGUAACACGUGAGUAACCUGCCCUUGACUUUGGGAUAACUUCAGGAAACUGGGGCUAAUACCGGAUAGGAGCUCCUGCUGCAUGGUGGGGGUUGGAAAGUUUCGGCGGUUGGGGAUGGACUCGCGGCUUAUCAGCUUGUUGGUGGGGUAGUGGCUUACCAAGGCUUUGACGGGUAGCCGGCCUGAGAGGGUGACCGGCCGCAUUGGGACUGAGAUACGGCCCAGACUCCUACGGGAGGCAGCAGUGGGGAAUAUUGCACAAUGGGCGGAAGCCUGAUGCAGCAACGCCGCGUGCGGGAUGACGGCCUUCGGGUUGUAAACCGCUUUCGCCUGUGACGAAGCGUGAGUGAUGGUAAUGGGUAAAGAAGCACCGGCUAACUACGUGCCAGCAGCCGCGGUGAUACGUAGGGUGCGAGCGUUGUCCGGAUUUAUUGGGCGUAAAGGGCUCGUAGGUGGUUGAUCGCGUCGGAAGUGUAAUCUUGGGGCUUAACCCUGAGCGUGCUUUCGAUACGGGUUGACUUGAGGAAGGUAGGGGAGAAUGGAAUUCCUGGUGGAGCGGUGGAAUGCGCAGAUAUCAGGAGGAACACCAGUGGCGAAGGCGGUUCUCUGGGCCUUUCCUGACGCUGAGGAGCGAAAGCGUGGGGAGCGAACAGGCUUAGAUACCCUGGUAGUCCACGCUGUAAACGGUGGGUACUAGGUGUGGGGUCCAUUCCACGGGUUCCGUGCCGUAGCUAACGCUUUAAGUACCCCGCCUGGGGAGUACGGCCGCAAGGCUAAAACUCAAAGGAACUGACGGGGCCCCGCACAAGCGGCGGAGCAUGCGGGUUAAUUCGAUGCAACGCGUAGAACCUUACCUGGGUUUGACAUGGAUCGGGAGUGCUCAGAGAUGGGUGUGCCUCUUUUGGGGUCGGUUCACAGGUGGUGCAUGCCUGUCGUCAGCUCGUGUCGUGAGAUGUUGGGUUAAGUCCCGCAACGAGCGCAACCCUUGUUCACUGUUGCCAGCACGUUAUGGUGGGGACUCAGUGGAGACCGCCGGGGUCAACUCGGAGGAAGGUGGGGAUGACGUCAAGUCAUCAUGCCCCUUAUGUCCAGGGCUUCACGCAUGCUACAAUGGCUGGUACAGAGAGUGGCGAGCCUGUGAGGGUGAGCGAAUCUCGGAAAGCCGGUCUCAGUUCGGAUUGGGGUCUGCAACUCGACCUCAUGAAGUCGGAGUCGCUAGUAAUCGCAGAUCAGCAACGCUGCGGUGAAUACGUUCCCGGGGCU
rnacentral:rRNA from 1 species